UCGUAUAACAUUGAGUAAUUUAGUGUGUGUGUUUACAAUCUGUUUUAUUACCGAUAUUUAGUAUCAAAUAAAUAAAUUAAAAAAUAUAAAUAAAGAGAGUUAUGUAUUUGCAUAAGAUAUAUAGAAAACAAAUUUUUGAAAUUAAAAUAUGAAGAAAGAGAGAAGUAUGAGUUAGUAUGGUUUACGAAAUUGAUUUAUGAUUCAACAAUAAUUUUUUUGAAGAAUAUUUUAUUUAUGCAACUUCUAUUGUAAGAUAUAAAAAUGUGGAUUAAGAUUUGUUUAAAAAAAAUGAAAGUAUCAGUUAUAUUUAAAUAGUUUCUAAUUAGAUAUGGUCUUAAUUUUAUAAGAAAAAUAUAAUCAAUAUAAAUAAUCAAUAUUUAUAUUUGUUAUUUCAACAAUAUAUAAAAAUUGGUUGGCAUAAUUAUUUUUCGAAAUCUAUGAGUUAGUUAUAGUUAGAUUUGGGUAUAUUAAAUAAUCGAUAUAAAUGAUGAUUGACCCCCAAGUUAAAGGGCCAAAAAUAUUAUGCCGACCAAUUUUAUAUAUUUUUGAAAUAACUAAUAUAAACUAGAUCUUGACCCGCACAACCGUACGGGUGUUAUUUUUUAUUUUUUAUACUUCACAAUUAUGGUUAUUCAUAUGUUUUGAUCGUUUGUAAAUUAUAUGCAUUGAUGAAAUGUGUUAUUGAUGUUUAAACAACUAAGUCUAAAUAAAUCAUUUGUAAUUUGGAGUUUUUUUAACUUUACCAUUUUCAAGUAUAUUUGAUUAUGAAGCAUACAAUUUGGAUAAUUUUUAUAUUAAUACAUAUAUGCUAAUAAAGACACAAUUUUCAUAGUUUAGAAUUUGAUAUUUUUUAUAUAGAUCAUAAUUUAUUUGGUGAUAAUGUAAGUAAUAUAUUUAAAUUGUUUAUGACAAUAUCAAAGUUAUAUAUUUAUAAUUUACUGUUUCAAAUUAUCCAGUGGUAACUCUGUAUUAAAACAUGAAGACUAAUUAAUACCUUAACUCUCAAUUUAACAUUAAAUUAGAUAUUUUACUAAAGGUAUACUUGUAUUUUAGACUUAGUCAUACGUAUAUGUUAAUCAGAUUAUUUGUAUGAUUUAAAUUUUUAACUCAAUAACCUACACUAAAUCUAAUUCAUAAAGUUCCACUUCAUUUCAAUUAUUAUAUAAAAAAUUGUAGAAAUUAUUAUUUCUUAUUCUAUAAACAAAAAAUAAAUUAGUAUUCAUUUAUAAUAAUAUUUAAUAUUAACUACGAAUUUUACUAUUUAAUAGUAACUUUUUAAAUAAAUAAAGAUACUUAAAUGAAAAUGAAAAUUUAUUAAAAUGUAUUAUUAAAAUGUAAUCUUAAAAAGAUACUUAAAAUAUCUUUUUAGAUAUUUUAUUUUAAAAUUUUAAAAUAAUAUGCUAGCUAGAGUAUAUUUAAUAAUAACUAAGUUAGUUUUAGAAAAAAUAAAGGAAUUCAAAUAAAUGUAGUGGUCCAACAUUGUUAUUAAUUAAACUUUGAAUUCUUGAUUUUAUGAGUGAUUUUUAUAUUCUUACAUUUAAAUAUUUUUUCCGAGUAUAUUUAUAUUAAAAUUAUUUAACAUAUUUUGUUUUAAAUGAAUUAAACUUUAAUUUACAUAUAUUAAAUAAAGUUAUUUGUUAAUAUUCUUUUAAAAUAAAAUAUGCAAAGUUUGGAAACCAUAAUUCUAUAGCUAAGAUAUUUUUUUACGAUACCAAAAUUUUGAAAUUUUGCCAAAAUCAAAUUUUCAAAAAUAUUUAUUUUUCCGUUAAAAAGUGAUGAAUGUUUACCAUACAUGUAAGUUGACUUUGGUGUAUUGAUUUAUAAGCACACUAUUUUGGAAUUGGUUUACUUAAAUAAUGAAUUGCUUGUGGUUAUGUUCCUUUGUGCAGAGACUUCAGAUAUGAUUGAUAACAUAUAAAUUUACAUAAUGUUGAACUUCUAGACCGCUCUCUGAGCUUCUUUCAUUAUUCUCAGUCACAAAUCCAAACCCACGACUCUGGUCGGUUUUCCUAUAUAUUAUAUAUAUCUCUUGAACUAAACAAAUGUAAAAAGAAAGAAUAUUCAAAACCAAAAGUAUGAAAGUUCCAUCUAAUGUUAACAUAUAUAGAUAUAUUCAAUCCACAUAAUUCUAAACACUGCAAUAACUAUUUCAAACCAGAGAUGCUCCGACUGUCCCGACUUUCUCAAAGAGCAUAGCUAAAGCCUGGUUGUCAACAUCGUAAGCCAAAUUUUCAACGAACAGCUUUGCUUCUUCCAGUGGCUCCAGGAACUCGCCACCUUCACUCACAUCUCCUUCCUCAUUUGAAAACGUUGCUUUUGGCCUUUCUUCCCUGCUGGGCCAUCACUUGAGCUAUUGAACAUUGGUGAAGUUUCAAAUUUUGAACGUACAGAACCAUAACCAAAUCAGAAGACAUCAUGAUUGUCUCCACAAGUUAGAAUCAAAGAAAAAAAAAACAAAAAAUGUUUCCUGGUGGAGCCUCCAACUCAUGAUUGUUGAGAAGGAGAUUAUCAUGCUCUUUCUCACGCCUCUCAUCUCGAGGAAGAAAGAUAGCUCUUCAUCUUCCUCUGUCAUCAUAGAAGCCCUAAGCUGUUGUCUUUGCCUCUGCUGAAUAUCCAGCAAUAGAGACUCAUGUGCCCUAAAGGUUCAAUUCAUCUCUCAACCAAAUUUACAGAACACAAAGAGUCCUAUCUCUUAUUCCUUUGUUUUAAAAUCUUCAUUGAUUGAAGAAUUUAAUUUUUCUUCUACCUGAUCAAUGGAUUUCAAAUUGAUUUUCUUCAAUCCAUCUGCCUCCCAUCCCAUGGCAACAUUUUCGCCUCUGGAAAUAUGAAUCCCGUGAACUAUUUUCUUUUGUACAUCUCGGGCAUUAGUUAUAGGUUAAACCAGUUAAUAGACUGAUUAUUGAUUAAUGUAAUUAAUU